rnacentral:rRNA from 1 species
GACGAACGCUGGCGGCGUGCCUAAUACAUGCAAGUCGAACGCUUCUUUCCUCCCGAGUGCUUGCACUCAAUUGGAAAGAGGAGUGGCGGACGGGUGAGUAACACGUGGGUAACCUACCCAUCAGAGGGGGAUAACACUUGGAAACAGGUGCUAAUACUGCAUAACAGUUUAUGCCGCAUGGCAUAAGAGUGAAAGGCGCUUUCGGGUGUCGCUGAUGGAUGGACCCGCGGUGCAUUAGCUAGUUGGUGAGGUAACGGCUCACCAAGGCCACGAUGCAUAGCCGACCUGAGAGGGUGAUCGGCCACACUGGGACUGAGACACGGCCCAGACUCCUACGGGAGGCAGCAGUAGGGAAUCUUCGGCAAUGGACGAAAGUCUGACCGAGCAACGCCGCGUGAGUGAAGAAGGUUUUCGGAUCGUAAAACUCUGUUGUUAGAGAAGAACAAGGACGUUAGUAACUGAACGUCCCCUGACGGUAUCUAACCAGAAAGCCACGGCUAACUACGUGCCAGCAGCCGCGGUAAUACGUAGGUGGCAAGCGUUGUCCGGAUUUAUUGGGCGUAAAGCGAGCGCAGGCGGUUUCUUAAGUCUGAUGUGAAAGCCCCCGGCUCAACCGGGGAGGGUCAUUGGGAACUGGGAGACUUGAGUGCAGAAGAGGAGAGUGGAAUUCCAUGUGUAGCGGUGAAAUGCGUAGAUAUAUGGAGGAACACCAGUGGCGAAGGCGGCUCUCUGGUCUGUAACUGACGCUGAGGCUCGAAAGCGUGGGGAGCAAACAGG